rnacentral:sRNA from 1 species
UGUGAAUACUUCUUGGGCGUUUCCUCCCUUAACUCGGGCCGCGCUUGUCGCGGCCCCUUUUUUUUGCCCGC